GACGAACCGUGCGACCGUUAUUCGGAAUCACUGGGCUUAAAGCGCGUGUAGGCGGGACGGCACGUCGGUCGCUGAAAUCCCCCGGCUUAACCGGGGAACUGGCGUCGAUACGACCGUCCUGGAGGGGCGUAGGGGGACCUGGAACUUCCGGUGGAGCGGUGAAAUGCGUUGAGAUCGGAAGGAACGCCCGUGGCGAAAGCGAGGUCCUGGACGCCUACUGACGCUGAGACGCGAAAGCCAGGGGAGCGAACGGG
rnacentral:rRNA from 1 species